UUCUUGAAGAGAUGUGAGAUUGUGCAUACCAUCAGGAAGGGCCUCGAGUCCCUCACAUUGAUAUAUAACAAUACGGCGUAGAUUGGUGAGCAUGUGCAGGUUCUCAGGUAAGGAUUUAAGAUCAAGAGCACAUACGAUUUCAAUAGAUUCAAGAGAUGUGUUGUUGUCGAAAACAGGCAACUCCCCUAAGAAUGUAAGAGAGAGGCACCCAAUAAUUCCCAAGUGCUGAAGAUUAGAUGAGUAAGCAUCGCAGCUGAUACCCUCCUUAUCAGUAAACCUGGAAGAGGAACAAGUCUCUCUCGCAUCCAGCAGCCUCAGCAAUCCGUAGCAGUUGCGUAUCUCUAGUCUUUUUAGAGUUGUGGGUA
rnacentral:misc_RNA from 1 species